rnacentral:rRNA from 1 species
CCUACGGGGGGCAGCAGUGGGGAAUAUUGCACAAUGGGGGAAACCCUGAUGCAGCGACGCCGCGUGAGUGAAGAAGGAUUUCGGUAUGUAAAGCCCUGUCAGUAGGGAAGAAAAUGACGGUACCUGACCAAGAAGCCCCGGCUAACUACGUGCCAGCAGCCGGGGUAAUACGUAGGGGGCAAGCGUUAUCCGGAUUUACUGGGUGUAAAGGGAGCGUAGACGGCAGGGCAAGUCUGGAGUGAAAGGCGGGGGCUCAACCCCCGGACUGCUGUUGAAACUGGCAGGCUGGAGUGCAGGAGAGGUAAGUGGAAUUCGUGGUGUAGCGGUGAAAUGCGUAGAUAUUAGGAGGAACACCGGUGGCGAAGGCGGCUUACUGGACUGUGACUGACGUUGAGGCUCGAAAGCGUGGGGAGCAAACAGGAUUAGAUACCCUUGUAGUC